AUUUUUAUCUAUAUUUUUCAGACACGUUACGGACUUGUUUGAUUACGUAGUUUUCCCGGGUGUGGCAGGUCACGUGUCCUGCACCCAGUGAAGCUAAUUACCGUUGACCGUUUCUCCGAGAACGGACGAUUUGAAGCGGAGACAAACGGGAGGAUGUGUCACCACGAAAACAACAUCCGUUAUUUCCAUUUUAAAAAUAAAAAUGGCGAGCACAGAGGGCUGACUGAAAAGUAAAAAACUUGAGACGACGACAGUAUUGACUGGGAUAGUCGAUGACUAACUUGCAGCACACAAAAUAUAAAAAAAAGUGGCAAAUACAGCACAGAGCCGCCUGCAGGAGAGACGUUUGGGUACAUUUGGACCCAGUAUGCUGCUGAAAAUGGAGCAGCACCAGAUCUCUGGCCUUUACACACUAUAACAUCACCUGCGACCUACCACAACCAUCUGAGUUGAAAAUGAAGUUACCAGACAGAUGGCUGCAAUCUUCCUCAGUUCAACCCCAGGGUUCCAAAGAUGGAAAAAGCAGAACUCUCAAGGAGAGCAGAUCCAUGCGGAGGUGGUCGGCUUCUUAUGGCACUCAUGCAAUAUGGUCCUGUAUAUGAGAUGUCGUCAGCAGUCAUGCCUGGUUUGAACUUGACCUGAAAGGACCGAUGGAAACAGAAUGUCUGAGUCAGUUGAGGAUGUCAUCACAAGCUGCAUGUUACCUCAUCUCUUCCUCCUCUUCAUCGUAAAUGUCCAAGCUGUUGCUAUGCAGGUACAUCAUGUUCAUCCCCUUGACAUGCUCUACAAGUGAAGGUUGCACUUCAUAAAAUAUCCUCCCAACCCCCAAUUUUUAACUCAUAUUGUAGCUUUCCUGGAAAUGC